rnacentral:rRNA from 1 species
UUUAAACUUGAGAGUUUGAUCAUGGCUCAGAACGUACGCUGGCGGCACGCCUAACACAUGCAAGUCGAACGAAGUAGCAAUACUUAGUGGCAGACGGGUGAGUAACAUGUGGGUAUCUGCCCUUUGGCCUGGAAUAACACGAGGAAACUUGUGCUAAUACCGGAUAAGUCUUUACGGAGAAAGCUUUAUGCACCAUUGGAUGAGCCUGCACUUGAUUAGUUUGUUGGUAGGGUAAUGGCCUACCAAGACUGUGAUCAAUAGCUGAUUUGAGAGGAUGAUCAGCCACAUUGGGACUGAGACACGGCCCAAACUCCUACGGGAGGCAGCAGUGGGGAAUCUUGCACAAUGGAGGAAACUCUGAUGCAGCGAUGCCGCGUGAGUGAAGAAGGCCUUUGGGUUGUAAAGCUCUUUCGUCGGGGAAGAAAAUGACUGUACCCGAAUAAGAAGGUCCGGCUAACUUCGUGCCAGCAGCCGCGGUAAUACGAAGGGACCUAGCGUAGUUCGGAAUUACUGGGCUUAAAGAGUUCGUAGGUGGUUGAAAAAGUUGGUGGUGAAAUCCCAGAGCUUAACUCUGGAACUGCCAUCAAAACUUUUCAGCUAGAGUUUGAUAGAGGAAAGCAGAAUUUCUAGUGUAGAGGUGAAAUUCGUAGAUAUUAGAAAGAAUACCAAUUGCGAAGGCAGCUUUCUGGAUCAUUACUGACACUGAGGAACGAAAGCAUGGGUAGCGAAGAGGAUUAGAUACCCUCGUAGUCCAUGCCGUAAACGAUGUGUGUUAGACGUUGGAAAUUUAUUUUCAGUGUCGCAGCGAAAGCGAUAAACACACCGCCUGGGGAGUACGACCGCAAGGUUAAAACUCAAAUGAAUUGACGGGGACCCGCACAAGUAGUGGAGCAUGUGGUUUAAUUCGAAGAUACGCGCAGAACCUUACCAACACUUGACAUGUUCGUCGCGACUUUAAGAGAUUAAAGUUUUCGGUUCGGCCGGACGAAACACAGGUGCUGCAUGGCUGUCGUCAGCUCGUGUCGUGAGAUGUUGGGUUAAGUCCCGCAACGAGCGCAACCCUCACUUUUAGUUGCCAUCAUUAAGUUGGGCACUCUGAAAGAACUGCCAGUGAUAAGCUGGAGGAAGGUGGGGAUGACGUCAAGUCCUCAUGGCCCUUACGUGUUGGGCUACACACGUGCUACAAUGGUAUCUACAACAGGAAGCAAAACAGCGAUGUUAAGCAAAUCCUUAAAAGAUACCUCAGUUCGGAUUGCACUCUGCAACUCGAGUGCAUGAAGCUGGAAUUACUAGUAAUCGUGGAUCAGCGUGCCACGGUGAAUGCGUUCCCGGGUCUUGUACACACCGCCCGUCACACCAUGGGAGUUGGUUCUACCUUAAGGCAAGGUUUUAAACCCUUGACCACGGUAUAGUCAGCGACUGGGGUGAAGUCGUAACAAGGUAGCCGUAGGGGAACCUGCGGCUGGAUUACCUCCUUUCUAA